UACGUAGGGUGCAAGCGUUGUCCGGAAUUAUUGGGCGUAAAGAGCUCGUAGGCGGUCUGUCGCGUCGGUUGUGAAAACUCGGGGCUCAACUCCGAGCUUGCAGUCGAUACGGGCAGGCUAGAGUUCGGCAGGGGAGACUGGAAUUCCUGGUGUAGCGGUGAAAUGCGCAGAUAUCAGGAGGAACACCGGUGGCGAAGGCGGGUCUCUGGGCCGAUACUGACGCCGAGGAGCGAAAGCGUGGGGAGCGAACAGG
rnacentral:rRNA from 1 species